UACAGAGGGUGCGAGCGUUGUCCGGAAUCACUGGGCGUAAAGGGCGCGUAGGCGGCUUGAUAAGGUUGCGGUGAAAGCCCGGGGCUCAACCCCGGGUCGGCCGUGGCAACUGUCGAGCUGGAGCACUGUAGAGGCAGGCGGAAUUCCGGGUGUAGCGGUGGAAUGCGUAGAGAUCCGGAAGAACACCGGUGGCGAAGGCGGCCUGCUGGGACAGUGCUGACGCUGAGGCGCGACAGCGUGGGGAGCAAACAGG
rnacentral:rRNA from 1 species